AUUUCUAGAGAUAGAAAGUUACUUCGGUACAUCGGUGACAGUGGUGCAUGGUUGUCGUCAGCUCGUGUCGUGAGAUGUUGGGUUAAGUCCCGCAACGAGCGCAACCCCUAUUGUUAGUUGCCAUCAUUCAGUUGGGGCACUCUAGCGAGACUGCCGGUAAUAAACCGGAGGAAGGUGGGGAUGACGUCAAAUCAUCAUGCCCCUUAUGACCUGGGCUACACACGUGCUACAAUGGUUGGUACAACGAGUUGCGAGUCGGUGACGGCGAGCUAAUCUCUUAAAGCCAAUCUCAGUUCGGAUUGUAGGCUGCAACUCGCCUACAUGAAGUCGGAAUCGCUAGUAAUCGCAGGUCAGCAUACUGUGGUGAAUACGUUCCCGGGCCUU
rnacentral:rRNA from 1 species